AAUAAACGCUGGCGGCGUGCCUAACACAUGCAAGUCGAACGAGAAAGGCUGAUUUCGGUUGGCCGAGUAAAGUGGCGCACGGGUGAGUAUCGCGUAGGUAACCUACCCUUGAAUUUGGGAUAACAGGACGAAAGUUCUGCUAAUACCGGAUACGAUCUUGACUCGGGAGGGUUGAGAUGAAAGUCGGCUGCUUCGAUGAAAGCCGAUGUUCGAGGAUGGGCCUGCGUCCUAUCAGCUAGUUGGUGGGGUGAUGGCCUACCAAGGCGACGACGGGUAGCUGGUCUGAGAGGAUGAUCAGCCACACUGGCACUGGAACACGGGCCAGACUCCUACGGGUGGCAG
rnacentral:rRNA from 1 species